UUGUAGAGAUACGAGGGUGCCUUCGGGAACUGUGAGACAGGUGCUGCAUGGCUGUCGUCAGCUCGUGUUGUGAAAUGUUGGGUUAAGUCCCGCAACGAGCGCAACCCUUAUCCUUUGUUGCCAGCGGUCCGGCCGGGAACUCAAAGGAGACUGCCAGUGAUAAACUGGAGGAAGGUGGGGAUGACGUCAAGUCAUCAUGGCCCUUACGACCAGGGCUACACACGUGCUACAAUGGCGCAUACAAAGAGAAGCGACCUCGCGAGAGCAAGCGGACCUCAUAAAGUGCGUCGUAGUCCGGAUUGGAGUCUGCAACUCGACUCCAUGAAGUCGGAAUCGCUAGUAAUCGUGGAUCAGAAUGCCACGGUGAAUACGUUCCCGGGCCUUGUACACACCGCCCGUCACACCAUGGGAGUGGGUUGCAAAAGAAGUAGGUAGCUUAACCUUCGGGAGGGCGCUUACCACUUUGUGAUUCAUGACUGGGGUGAAGUCGUAACAAGGUAACCGUAGGGGAACCUGCGGUUGGAUCACCUCCUUACCUUAAAGAAGC
rnacentral:rRNA from 1 species